rnacentral:rRNA from 1 species
UUGACCUCGGAUCACGUAGGAAUACCCGCUGAACUUAAGCAUAUCAAUAAGCGGAGGAAAAGAAACCAACAGGGAUUGCCUUAGUAACGGCGAGUGAAGCGGC